AUUGAACGCUGGCGGCAUGCCUUACACAUGCAAGUCGAACGGUAACAGGUCUUCGGAUGCUGACGAGUGGCGAACGGGUGAGUAAUACAUCGGAACGUGCCUAGUAGUGGGGGAUAACUACUCGAAAGAGUAGCUAAUACCGCAUGAGAUCUACGGAUGAAAGCAGGGGACCUUCGGGCCUUGUGCUACUAGAGCGGCUGAUGGCAGAUUAGGUAGUUGGUGGGGUAAAGGCUUACCAAGCCUGCGAUCUGUAGCUGGUCUGAGAGGACGACCAGCCACACUGGGACUGAGACACGGCCCAGACUCCUACGGGAGGCAGCAGUGGGGAAUUUUGGACAAUGGGCGAAAGCCUGAUCCAGCGAUGCCGCGUGCAGGAUGAAGGCCCUCGGGUUGUAAACUGCUUUUGUACGGAACGAAAAGCCUGGGGCUAAUAUCCCCGGGUCAUGACGGUACCGUAAGAAUAAGCACCGGCUAACUACGUGCCAGCCGCCGCGGUAA
rnacentral:rRNA from 1 species